GUAACAAAGUUAAAGGGGGGGUCAAAUUAUGGUGAAAAACCCGGUACAUAUUUGCUCUUUUGAGGAAAUAUAUUAAUAUACUUUUAUGUGAGGAAAUAAAAUAGAUUAACCUAAUUAUUCAUUUGAACUGUCGUUGAAAUAGCACAAGAAAAUGACAUCACGGCAUGCAGACAAUUAGUUUUCUUAUAUUAAUUUGCAGACAUUUACAAACAAUUAUUUCGUUGAAAUAGCUUUGUAAUCUCAACGUAAAUUUAUAAUUCAGCAUAUAGUGACUUAAUUAAACAUAGUCAAAAUCAAAAUUAUUGGGCCUGAUAUUAUUUGAUUGUAUAUAGAACAAAUUAUUUAACUGAAGAAUACUACAGUGACUGAAUAAAAUGGGCCUAACAUUUUGAAUGAAUCCCAAAAAUCAGGUAAAUGGAGAAUGUGAACAAAAAGCCGCCAUAUUUAGGCUCAGCCAAUCAAAAACGGGACCACGCUUGUCGCCACUGUGGUUUAUUAGGACACUGUAAAUUCAGCAUAGAAAGCAGCACUUUUACUUCGACAUUUUGCUGGUUCAGCGCUGUCCAGCGCAUUAAACAGCGCUGACUUUCCGAUCUCGCCCCUACUUGAUUUCGAGUUCGUGUAAGUUUCAGAUGGCGCAUACAGCGUUUAUAUUUGACAUUUCUCUCGAUCCACGGCUCUCGUGAUCUUUGAGUAUAGAAUAAUAAUAUUUUAUAUUCUAUGCUCGUGACAAUCUUCUAUACUGUGAAAGUGUGAAUAGACCCAAGGUUUAUAGAUUUAGACAGGUUGUCUCGUAACUUUCAACCAAUCAGCGUCAACCAUUCGUGACGUCACUCGGUUUACACAUUCAAAUGAAAAACAUUUGAUUGUAAUGAAAUCGUGGGUUUUCACGGAUUUUCUUAUUAGUUUGAUCGCGUAUAUCGUUUGUAGCCUCUCCUAAAUAGUCUUAAAUAUCUUCAAUCAUAAAAUAGCUACGAUAAAAUGUCCGUCAAUGAUGGCCAAUGGCGACACAGACACUCUAUAGACCUUAACAGACACCGGAUGACGCGUUACCCCACUCUUCAACCCAAGUUACGAGACAACCUGUGUAAUCUACAGACCUUGGAAUAGACCAAUAGCCGUCUGUCAUUAUUUUCCAUUCAUUUCAUUAAGAAUUCGAUAUGAACUGAAUUGUGGAAGUUUGCAGUGUCUCAAAUCAUUAUUUCAUUUUUAAAAGCUGCCAGACAGAUAGCGGGAAUUCGAACAAACUCUAGUAAUUUUUCACCAGAACAGCAAGUGGACUAUCUCAAAAGGUCUGAAACAAAAUCAUAUCAGUGCACACACCAGGUUUUUUAUGCAUCUUAACAUCAACUCAUAAAAUUGGUAAGCAAAGGGGGUUAUUUAUGGGUGUUGAGGUGAAAUUCGGAUCCAAAAAAUAUCGUAUUUCAACGUUAUACCACCCGCCAGCAGUUCAGGACCACAAUUUUAUUCGGAGGAAAUGCUUGAUGAAUUGAGCGAAAUUGAUGCAACCAUAGAAUGAUUAACAGGUAGAUGGAGUAUCCUCAUCACGUACUGUGUUCGCCGUUCGGCAAAUCCACACCGGUGCAGAGCGUCGGUGUAAGGUGUGAAGCAUGAACGGUUGAUAAUCCACAACAAAUGGAGCGUGCAUGUUUGCCGAACGAUAACAAAGCUGAUAUCGAGGAGACAAAUUCAAUCUAGUUUGACGUCUGACCCUCUCCAAUGAUUUCAAUUGUCCAAUAUGUUCCCUUUCUUCUCACAAAACAUUCAAAAAUUCUUUGAUAUCAGCUCCGUCACCGGUCACGUGACCUAUCAACCGUUCGCACCUUACACUGCUAGCUCUGCACCGGUGUGGAUUUGCCGAAAGCAGUAAUUGAACAAUAUAUGAACUCUACCUAAUAAUUCAGUGGCGUUUAUGCACUCUAUUGUUAGUUCUCAGUGAAGGAAAGCGCGCACUUCUUUAUAUUUGUUCUAUAAUUCGAUGUUUGAUAUUGAUUGUGAAAAAUUUGAUUACAUUUUUUUCAGACACACAUACACAAUAACUUUCCAUGCCUUAGUUCGAAAGUGUUUUCAAUAACAUAUUAGGAUAGCCCGUGAAAUAUACUAUCUUACCGAUGGGUCACUUUUCAAUUUUGCUCGAACGAUAAGUCACAAAAUCCAGAGAGAGCGGGGCACAUUUGACUUUUUCAAAUUUGCCGCUUUAACAACAUGUUUCCAGAUCCUUCUUCGAAUAUAUAUCAGUUUAGGCGGUAUUCAUUCCUCAGUUGAAAGUUUACAUUGAUGAGAGUCAUUUCAUAGUUGCUGUUCUAUUGAAGAAUACGUACCUGAAAUAUUUUUGGAAACUGCAUCUGUUACUUGAGGGUAUCAUCAUUAUGGUGUGAAAUUAUAAGAAAAAGACUAACAGAUGCGAUAUUGAUGAAUCAAAUAUCAAAAAAGCAAUGGAUGAUGUUGCUUGCGGCAAAUAUAGUUGCAGGGAAGCAUCUUUUAUUUAUAAUAUAAACCGGACCACUCUUAUACAUCAAAUGAAGAAAA